rnacentral:rRNA from 1 species
AACGAACGCUGGCGGCAGGCCUAACACAUGCAAGUCGAACGCCCCGCAAGGGGAGUGGCGCACGGGUGAGUAACGCGUGGGAAUAUGCCCUUCGGUUCGGAAUAACACAGGGAAACUUGUGCUAAUACCGGAUACGAUCUACGGAUGAAAGAUUUAUCGCCGAGGGAGUAGCCCGCGUAGGAUUAGCUAGUUGGUGAGGUAAUGGCUCACCAAGGCGACGACCCUUAGCUGGUCUGAGAGGAUGAUCAGCCACACUGGGACUGAGACACGGCCCAGACUCCUACGGGAGGCAGCAGUGGGGAAUAUUGGACAAUGGGCGAAAGCCUGAUCCAGCCAUGCCGCGUGAGUGAUGAAGGCCUUAGGGUUGUAAAGCUCUUUCGCCAGGGAAGAUAAUGACGGUACCUGGAAAAGAAGCUUCGGCUAACUCCGUGCCAGCCGCCGCAGUAA